rnacentral:lncRNA from 1 species
UUGCAACUGGUGAGCCAGCAGGCCCUGGCUGAGUGAGGAGAAGAGCCGGGAGGUGCCAGGAGGGUUCACCAGGCUGCUGAAUGACCUGGUGGUUCUUCACACUAUCUGUGGCAUCUACGGAGCAGGGUUCCCCUGUGGAGGGAGAAGGCACUAGAAGCUUGGUCCUCCAACUGAGAGUACUUCUGUGUCCCUUUCCUAGCAGAACCAUCUCUGUGCAGUAAGUGGCAUCUUUUGUCUACAUUAAAGAACGUGUAUUCUUUGCCAGUGUCUGCUGGUUUCUUUUCCUGAGCCUGUUGUGACAACCCUGCAGUAGAUGAUGAUAAUAACAGCAUCUAGCAUCUACGGAGCACUUACUUAGUAUCAGGGAAUGGAAUAUCAUUUCCAUUUCACGUAUAAGGAAACUGAGACACAGGGGAAAUAAUCUGACCAAGGACACAGCUAAGAAACUUACGCUUUUACCACUGUGUUACAAGCCUUGUUAUAUACUGUAAACUUGUUAUGUAAUACAUAAUUUCUUGAAUAUUUUUCAUGUUAUUAAAACUCUGAUAACAUAUUAUUUUAAUGUCUAAAUCAAUAUUAUAUCCUUUAUAUAACCAGACCUCUAUUAUGAAAUACUUAGAUUGUUUCACUCUUUUAUUUAAUAAAUAAUGCUGUAGUAAAUAUAUUUGCAAAGAAGGAUUUUUCUGUAUUUAGAGUUUUUGGAGGGAUACAUUCUCAGAAGCAGUAUUAUGAAGUUUAGUGGUAUGACUAUUUUAAAGCCCUUGAGUUAUAUUGCAAAUUACUUUUCAAAGAUGAUGUACCAAUUUACAUACCUAAUGUAAAGUAGGAGAGAUGCCUCUUUCACUGAACUGUCACUGUCAUCAAGUAGCACAUAUUCUUUUCUCUGAAUAAAGAGCAAUAUUCAAU